AUUGAACGCUGGCGGCAGGCCUAACACAUGCAAGUCGAACGAGUGGCGGACGGGUGAGUAAUGCCUGGGCAACUGCCCGAUGGAGGGGGAUAAAUACUGGAAACGGUAGCUAAUACCGCAUACCCUCGAAUGUGCCCAUAGGGGAUUAGCUAGUAGGGGGGGUAAAGGCUAACCUAGGCGACGAUCCCUAGCUGGUCUGAGAGGCGGACCAGCCACAUUGGAAGUGAGCAACGGUCCAGACUCCUACGGGAGGCAGCAGUGGGAAAUAUGGCCAAAUGGGCGAAAGCCUGCUGCAGCCAUGCCGCGGGUAUGAAGAGGGCCUUCGGGUGGUAAGGUACUUUCAGCGAGGAGGCGUUACUCGCAGAAGAAGCACCGGCUAACUCCGUGCCAGCCGCCGCGGUAAUAC
rnacentral:rRNA from 1 species